CACAGGAAAAGCUGGAAUCAAUGACAGAAGAAACUAAUUUAGAACUGUCAUUUGAUCUAAAUGAAAAGUCAUGCUUCACAGAAUAAAAUGUUUCCCAGUGUGUGCAACUAGUGGCCAGAUGCUUUGUGUAUCCAACAUCCCAAAGAAGGACCACAGCAAUUCACCAAACAGCCAGAAGAAACAGCAGCAAUAAGCAGUUCUUCCAUCGCUACCUAAAAAGACUAUAUUUAUUCAAGAAACUGCAUGGUUCUGGAAAGCAUACCACCUCAAUAUGCACUGAAGCCUGAUCUUAUGACUGCAGUCAGCCUAGCACUAAAUGCACACAAAAACAGACAAAAUGUGUGAAUCCCCACUAUCCCACACAGCCUUGAUGAUACCAUUCAAGUACUGGCAGCUGUUAGAAGAAAUGUAAGAAGGGAAGAAACAGAAAGAAAAAAAAAGAAAACGGAUUUGACAAGUAAAAAGGAAUCUGCUUGGUUUUCUGCUGUUGCUGCAUUUUGUGGGU